UACCAGCACCCCGAGUGGUCGGGACGUUUAUUGGGCCUAAAGCAUCCGUAGCCGGUUCUGCAAGUCUUCCGUUAAAUCCAACUGCUUAACAGAUGGGCUGCGGAGGAUACUAUAAGACUAGGAGGCAGGAGAGGCAAGCGGUACUCAGUGGGUAGGGGUAAAAUCCAUUGAUCCAUUGAAGACCACCAGUGGCGAAGGCGGCUUGCCAGAAUGCGCUCGACGGUGAGGGAUGAAAGCUGGGGGAGCAAACCGG
rnacentral:rRNA from 1 species